UACGUAGGGUGCAAGCGUUAAUCGGAAUUACUAGGCGUAAAGCGUGCGCAGGCGGUUUUGUAAGACUGUCGUGAAAUCCCCGGGCUUAACCUGGGAAUGGCGAUGGUGACUGCAAGGCUAGAGUUUGGCAGAGGGGGGUAGAAUUCCACGUGUAGCAGUGAAAUGCGUAGAGAUGUGGAGGAACACCGAUGGCGAAGGCAGCCCCCUGGGUCAAAACUGACGCUCAUGCACGAAAGCGUGGGGAGCAAACAGG
rnacentral:rRNA from 1 species